UUUCUACUCCCUCCGUCCGAAAAUACUUGUCAUCAAAAUGGAUAAAAAUAGAUGUAUCUAAAACUAAAAUACGUCUAGAUACAUUUCCUUUUAUCCAUUUUGAUGACAAGUAUUUCCGGACGGAGGGAGUAUUUG
rfam:Triticum aestivum genome assembly, contig: Triticum_aestivum_CS42_TGACv1_scaffold_030326_1BL